rnacentral:lncRNA from 10 species
UGUGCCACCACGCCUGGCUAAUUUUUUUUUUUUUUUUUUUUUUUUAGACAGAGUCUUGUUCCGUUGCCCAGGCUGGAAUGCAGUGACAACACUCUACCUUCUGGGUUCGAGAGAUUCUUGUGCCUCAGCCUCCAGAGUAGCUGCGAUUACAGGCACGUACCACCACGCCUGGCUAAUUGUUUAGUAGAGACAGGUCUCGCUAUCUUGCCCAGGCUUGUCAUGAACUCUUGGGCUUAAACAACCUUCCCACGUGGGUCUCCCAAAGUGCUGGGAUUGCAGUUGUGAGACAUCACACCCAGCAAUUUAAAAUUUUUUGUAGAAAUGGGGUCUUGCCACAUUGCCCAGCCUUUUCUCAAACUCCUAGCUUCAAGCAAUCAUCUUGCCUCUGCCUCCCAGAAUGCUAGGAUUACAGGCAUGAAUCAACAUGCCAGCAACACGUAAAAUUAACCAUCACACUGCACUUCCUUGCUUUGGUUGUAUUGUAAGGAACUGGGAAACUGCAAGCUACUUUCCUCUGACUCUCUUUCCAGCUGACUUCUGGCUAGGUUCUGCAAUGGGUGCCCCUGGUGAAAGAUUAGAAGGGAAGCUAAAGGAAGAGGUCUUCUUGUUCUCUUCUUUUGGCAGUUCCUCUGACAGUGGCAGCAGCAGGUGGAUGUAGGCUCCUAGAUUCCUUGCUUCACCAGCACAGUGAUUGCGGCCACAGCAGCACAGUGAUUGUGGACUCUGGGGCUGGAGGAGGCAGCAACAGUGGUGUGACUUUGGGCUCCUGUAACAACAGCAGGAAUGCACUCCUUCCCUGCAAGGUGAUAUGUGCAGUGAUUCCAAUGAGAAUCAUAGCAGCAGUGGAGGCUCCAGCAGCCGUGAUGGUGCAGUCAUCAUGGGCUUUAACACUUUCUGGCUGGGUGUGGUGGCUCACGCCUAUAAUCCCAGCACUUUGGGAGGCCAAGGAGGGCAGAUCACCUGAGGCCAGGAGUUCAAGACCAGCUGGCCAACAUGGUGAAACCCUGUCUCUACAAAAAUUACAAAAAUUAGCCAGGCGUGGUGGCAGGGGCCUGUGGUCCCAGCUGCUCGGGAGUCUGAGGCAGGAGAAUCGCAUGAACCCAGGAGGCG